UACAGAGGGUGCGAGCGUUAAUCGGAAUUACUGGGCGUAAAGCGUGCGUAGACGGUUAUGUAAGUCGGGUGUGAAAGCCCCGGGCUCAACCUGGGAACUGCAUUUGUGACUGCAUGGCUGGAGUGCGGCAGAGGGGGAUGGAAUUCCGCGUGUAGCAGUGAAAUGCGUAGAUAUGCGGAGGAACACCGAUGGCGAAGGCAAUCCCCUGGGCCUGCACUGACGCUCAUGCACGAAAGCGUGGGGAGCAAACAGG
rnacentral:rRNA from 1 species